AUGGCCUGGACGCCUCUUCUCCUCGUGAUCCUCUCUCACUGCACAGGUUCCCUCUCCCAGCCUGUGCUCACUCAGCCGCCCUCCCUCUCUGCCUCUCCUGGAGCCACAGCCAGACUCACCUGCACCCUGAGCAGUGGAUACAAUGUUGGUAGUUUUAAGAUAUUCUGGUACCAACAGAAGCCAGGGAGCCCUCCCCGGUAUCUCCUGAACUACAACACAGAAUCAGAGAAGGACCAGGGCCCCGGGGUCCCCAGCCGCUUCUCUGGAGCCAAGGACACCUCGGCCAACGCGGGGCUCCUGCUCAUCUCGGGGCCGCAGCCUGAGGACGAGACCAACUACUACUGCAGUAUAUAUCAUGGAAACACAGACUCUUCACCGUGCUCCACACCAGGGGGAACGCCCAACCCUUGA